rnacentral:lncRNA from 1 species
UGCACUCGAGUCCGAGCAACUGGCCUUUACUUCAGCCACAGGCACUAGCUUGGGGGCAUGACAUAAAGGACCCCUAAUUUCAACAAGUGCCUUAGUCAUCCGCCGGUGCUGAGUGGAAGGGCCGUCACUCAACAGAUAAAAGUAGACUGUUCUAGAAAAAUGAUCAGCUUUAUUCCAACUACCUUACCUGAAAGGGUGAAGUUCGGGUUGUGCGAGCCCCCAAUUCUCGAGUUUCAUCCUUGGCAAACAACAUAAUCCCAAAGGUGGGAUAACUAAUGCGAAGGGGAGUUGCGAACCAGAAUUUUCUCACUACAUUGCAUAUCUUGCAUCUGACCCACAACGGUAAGUGUGAGAAAGCACGGGAGAAGAAUAUAACUGAGAUUAAACAUAAUACAAUGAGCCCUAUAUAUAAUACUAAUAACCUAGAGUUCUACUAU